AAUAUACUCCCUCCGUCUUAAAAUUCAUAUCUUAGAUUUAUAUAGAAAUGAAUGUAUCUAAAUACUAAAACAUGACUAGAUACAUUAUUAUUUAGACAAAUUUAAGACAAGAAUUUGAAACGGAGGAAGUACAUG
rfam:Hordeum vulgare subsp. vulgare, WGS project CAJW01000000 data, contig: morex_contig_41896